rnacentral:lncRNA from 1 species
AGUCCUCAGCUGCCAGUCCUCAGGCCUCCAACACCUGAGCAGCCCAUAAGCCUGCCGCCCUGAACACACUCGUACGUGCCGUUCACACCCAGAGUCAACAGAGAGAGCCAGCCCAGAAUUACUCUUUGCAGGUGUCCGUGGGAAGAAACAGAGAGACCUAGGGGGAAGACAGACUAGGCAGAGAAGAGAGGAGCCGGCACAGGACGCUGCUGGAGUUCUCUCAGGAGGGCCUGUUGGAGGACUGAUCUCACCCCGCUGAGCGGUUGCUCUGUGGAUCUUUCUGGAAGUCAGUUGCUAAAUGUGGGCUGCUAGGUGGAGGUGGGAGAACGAAGAGAGCGACCUUCCAGAUAGUCCCUGUCUGUUGAGGGUGACUUUACUGUACCUGGUGGGAUCCCAACAGGAGGAUGGGUGGGUCACAUUAAAGAAGGUCUUACCGUGGG